rnacentral:piRNA from 1 species
AAUUGUGAUGUGGAGCUAUUGAUACA